AUUGAACGCUGGCGGCAGGCCUAACACAUGCAAGUCGAGCGAGCGGCGGACGGGUGGGUAAUGUAUGGGGACUGCCCGAUAGAGGGGGAUAACUACUGGAAACGGUGGCUACUACCGCAUACUAUCGGAUAACCCAUAUGGGAUUAGCUAGUGGGUGGGGUAAAGGCUCACCUAGGCGACGAUCUCUAGCUGGUCUGAGAGGAUGAUCACCAAAACUGCGACCGAGACACGGCCCAGACUCCUACGGAGGAAGCAGUGGGGAAUAUUGCACAAUGGGGGCCAGCCCGGUGGAGCCAUGCCGCGGGUAUGAAGAAGGCCUUAGGUUUUUAAAGUACUUUCAGUGGAGAAGCGUUACCCGAAGAAGAAGCACCGGAUAACUCCGUGCCAGAAGCCGCGGUAAUUC
rnacentral:rRNA from 1 species